CCUACGGGCGGCAGCAGUCGAGAAUUAUUCACAAUGGGGGAAACCCUGAUGGUGCGACGCCGCGUGGGGGAAUGAAGGUCUUCGGAUUGUAAACCCCUGUCAUGUGGGAGCAAAUUAAAAAGAUAGUACCACAAGAGGAAGAGACGGCUAACUCUGUGCCAGCAGCCGCGGUAAUACAGAGGUCUCAAGCGUUGUUCGGAAUCACUGGGCGUAAAGCGUGCGUAGGCUGUUUCGUAAGUCGUGUGUGAAAGGUGCGGGCUCAACCAGCGGACGGCACAUGAUACUGCGAGACUAGAGUAAUGGAGGGGGAGCCGGAAUGCUUGGUGUAGCAGUGAAAUGCGUAGAUAUCGAGAGGAACACUCGUGGCGAAGGCAGGUUCCUGGACAUUAACUGACGCUGAGGCACGAAGGCCAGGGGAGCGAAAGGGAUUAGAUACCCGUGUAGUC
rnacentral:rRNA from 1 species